UUGAACUCCUUUUUUUUUUUUUUUGGUCAAUGAUUAUAUUAGAAGAUCCAAAGGAUCAAGCAAAAUACAAGAGGUACAUAAGACCCCAGAUAAAGAGGCACAAAGGCCCAGAUACAGAGGCACACAGGCCCAGCAAAUGAGGCACACAGGCCCAGCAAACAUUUAAA